AUAUGUGUAGGAUUUCAGUUUAUUUUGAAAGUUACAGGUCACAAAAUACAAGGACUAAAAUAAAAUUUCUAUGUGAAACAAUUUUAGAAGUUGGUAUGUUUGUCUUGGAAAUUUAAUACCCACCACAGAAAACAAAAUUGCCACACAAAAGUAUAUAUUCAUAUAAAGUAGGCAUCACAGGCUAUUUACCCAAGGUUAUUUUGACACUUUUUAAAAAUCAAUUUCACCGCCAAUCUCUGAUAAAUAUUGGAGUAAAAUUGUAUUUUUUCUCUAUUUUGGCAUAUACACACAUAUAACAAGGUUUUAAUAAUGUGUAUUUCAUAAAGCUGGUGUGUGCUAUCUCUAUACAGAACCCUAUGUUGUGUUCAGCUACAUCUGCGGAGUAUGAC